rnacentral:rRNA from 1 species
CAGCGCCACGAGUGGUAACCACGUUUAUUGGGCCUAAAGCGUCCGUAGCCGGUUUGAUAAAUCUUUUGUGAAAUUGUACAGCUUAACUGUACAGCGUGCAAGAGACACUGUCAAACUUGAGACCGGGAGGAGUCAGAAGUAUUCCAGAGGGAGCGGUAAAAUGUUAUAAUCUCUGGAGGACUACCUGUGGCGAAGGCGUCUGACCAGAACGGAUCUGACGGUGAGGGACGAAAGCCAGGGGAGCGAACCGGAUUAGAGACCCCAGUAGUCC